GGCAGAACGAGAACUCCGACGGCAGCAACGUGUGGGGAUCCUACACCGUCGCCCUUCCCGACGGCCGCAAGCAACAAGUCGACUACACAGCUGAUCACGGUAGAGGAUUCGUGGCCAAGGUCAGCUACUCCGGCAAGGCUCAGCAUCCUCAAGUCUUCGGUCCUGCCAUCACCUUCCCACAGAACGGCGGAGGAUAUCACUAAACACCUAGUGGCAAUUUCUUUUCAAACCCUCCUAUCUUUGUACAUUCGAUAAAAGAAUCAGCACGCAUAUAUCAUGCAUUAGAAGUAAAUGUAUAUAACUAAAAGA